AUACAGGGGGAGAAAAAAGGGGUUUCUCUUCAAGAACCCUAAACAUAUGAAAUUCUACAAAAUCAAAGAGAAAUCGAGCCGGGAAAUUGGGGCUUUAACUAAAUUCGUGAUCACCUAAGCUAUGAGAUCGCAAGUUCGACGCUUGACAAGCUAGAUGGAGGCUUGGAAAGGAAGCGGGUCAAACGAAUCAAGUGUGAAGGAAAAGCGUGUUUCGGAUGCAAGGUGAAUGUCGUUACCAUCCGGAUGCCGAUCAAGCAACGAAGUGAACCGAACACAUACUUAAUGAAGCUUCCGCGAUAUCUUUCUUUUGUUUAGU